GACGAACGCUGGCGGCGUGCUUAACACAUGCAAGUCGAGCGGAAAGGCCCUUCGGGGUACUCGAGCGGCGAACGGGUGAGUAACACGUGAGUAACCUGCCCCAGACUUUGGGAUAACCCUCGGAAACGGGGGCUAAUACCGGAUACGACACAGCUUCGCAUGGGGUCUGUGUGGAAAGUUUUUCGGUUUGGGAUGGGCUCGCGGCCUAUCAGCUUGUUGGUGGGGUGAUGGCCUACCAAGGCGACGACGGGUAGCCGGCCUGAGAGGGCGACCGGCCACACUGGGACUGAGACACGGCCCAGACUCCUACGGGAGGCAGCAGGGGGGAAUAUUGCACAAUGGGCGGACGCCUGAUGCAGCGACGCCGCGUGAGGGAUGACGGCCUUCGGGUUGUAAACCUCUUUCAGCAGGGACGAAGCGUAAGUGACGGUACCUGCAGAAGAAGCGCCGGCCAACUACGUG
rnacentral:rRNA from 1 species